rnacentral:RNase_P_RNA from 1 species
GGCAAGGAUAACGGGUAACGCCCGCCGAAGGCGACUUCAGGAAAAGUGCAACAGAGAUAUACCGCCGGCCAUUGCCCGUCAAUGGAGUUAACCGUCCGGCGGUCGCAGUCGGCGCAAAGCGCCGGCUACGCCCGCCUUUCUUUGGGUAGCCCCAUUCAAAUUGGGCAGACUCCUUGAAAACGGUCGAAAUCAUUGACGGGCAAUGGGCGGUAAGGGUGGAAAGGCGGAGAUAAGCGCCCGCCCGAUGACUGGAAACUGCUCAUCGCUGUAAACUCUAUCCGGAGCAACACCGUGGUAACGCAACAGGCCGGCCCGGCCGCGUUUAGGAGGUGGCUGGAGCGUGCCGGUGACGGCACGCCAAGAUAGAUGGCUGUCUUAAAGGACAGAACCCGGCUUACAGGCUUGCUCG